AUGGGAAUGGGAGUGGGGGGGGUGGAAGGGUACUGGGAGGCACUGGGAGGUACUGGGAACGGCCAAGGACUUCAUGGGGAUGGGAAUUGGGAGGGUGGAGGUGUACUGGGAGGUACUGGGAGGGACUGGGAGGGACUUGGAGGGACUGGGAGGGACUGGGAGGGACUGGGAGGGACCGAGGGCUUCAUGGGGAUGGGAGUGGAGGGGGGCAGAAGGGUACUGGGAGGCACUGGGAGGUACUGGGAACGGCCAAGGGCUUCAUGGGGAUGGGAAUGGUGGGGAUGGUGGGCUACUGGGAGGGACUGGAGCAUACUGGGAGGGACUGGCAGGGCCCAAGGACUUCAUGGGGAUGAGAAUAGGGGGUAUGGAGGGGUACUGGAAGGUACUGGGAGGUACUGGGAACGGCCAAGGACUUCAUGGGGAUGGGAAUGGUGGGGAUGGAGGGCUACUGGGAGGUACUGGGAGGGACUGGAAGGUACUGGGAGGGAUUGGGAGGGAUUGGAAAUGGCCAAGGGCUUCAUGGGAAUGGGAGUGGGCGGGGCGGAAGAGUACUGGGAGGCACUGGGAGGGACUGGGAACGGCCGAGGGCUUCAUGGGGAUGGGAAUUGGGAGGGUGGAGGUGUGCUGGGAGGGACUGGGAGGGACUGGGAGGGAUUGGGAAUGGCCAAGGGCUUCAUGGGAAUGGGAGUGGGCGGGGCGGAAGGGUACUGGGAGGCACUGGGAGGUACUGGGAACGGCCAAGGGCUUCAUGGGGAUGGGAAUGGUGGGGAUGGAGGGCUACUGGGAGGUACUGGGAGGGACUGGGAGGCACUGGGAGCACUCACAGAGCACGCUGACGGUGACGGCCGCCUCCGCCGGGUCCCCGCCGGCCUCGUUGGAGGCCGAGCAGACGAGGCGCUGCCCGUGGGCCCCCCGCUGCGGAGACACCCUGCGCCCGGCAUCAAACUGGGCCAAACUGGGCCAAACUGGGACGGGCUGGGGGGUACUGGGAUGGGAUGGGGUCUACCGGGCCACAACGGGAGGUACUGGGGUAUAGUGGGGGGACUGGGCCAAACUGGGAGGGACUAG
rnacentral:lncRNA from 1 species